GUCACUUAUAGAUGGAUCCGCGCUGCAUUAGCUAGUUGGUAAGGUAACGGCUUACCAAGGCAACGAUGCAUAGCCGACCUGAGAGGGUGAUCGGCCACACUGGAACUGAGACACGGUCCAGACUCCUACGGGAGGCAGCAGUAGGGAAUCUUCCGCAAUGGGCGAAAGCCUGACGGAGCAACGCCGCGUGAGUGAUGAAGGUCUUCGGAUCGUAAAACUCUGUUAUUAGGGAAGAACAUAUGUGUAAGUAACUGUGCACAUCUUGACGGUACCUAAUCAGAAAGCCACGGCUAACUACGUGCCAGCAGCCGCGGUAAUACGUAGGUGGCAAGCGUUAUCCGGAAUUAUUGGGCGUAAAGCGCGCGUAGGCGGUUUUUUA
rnacentral:rRNA from 1 species